CCUACGGGUGGCAGCAGUGAGGAAUAUUGGUCAAUGGGCGCGAGCCUGAACCAGCCAAGUCGCGUGAGGGAAGACGGUCCUAUGGAUUGUACACCUCUUUUGUCGGGGAGCAAAAGACGCCACGCGUGGCGUUCCGAGAGUACCCGAAGAAAAAGCAUCGGCUAACUCCGUGCCAGCAGCCGCGGUAAUACGGAGGAUGCGAGCGUUAUCCGGAUUUAUUGGGUUUAAAGGGUGCGCAGGCGGAAGAUCAAGUCAGCGGUAAAAUUGAGAGGCUCAACCCCUUCGAGCCGUUGAAACUGGUUUUCCUGAGUUAGUGAGAAGUAUGGGGAAUGCGUGGUGUAGCGGUGAAAUGCAUAGAUAUCACGCAGAAAUCCGAUUGCGAAAGCAGCAUACCGGCGCUCAACUGACGCUCAUGCACGAAAGUGUGGGUAUCGAACAGGAUUAGAUACCCCAGUAGUC
rnacentral:rRNA from 1 species